rnacentral:rRNA from 1 species
UACAGAGGUCCCAAGCGUUGUUCGGAUUCACUGGGCGUAAAGGGUGCGUAGGUGGUGAGGUAAGUCGGAUGUGAAAGCUCGGAGCUCAACUCCGAAAUGGCAUUGGAAACUACCUUGCUCGAGGGUUGGAGGGGGGACUGGAAUACUUGGUGUAGCAGUGAAAUGCGUAGAUAUCAAGUGGAACACCAGUGGCGAAGGCGAGUCCCUGGACAACUCCUGACACUGAGGCACGAAAGCUAGGGGAGCACACAGG